UACGUAGGGCGCAAGCGUUGUCCGGAAUUAUUGGGCGUAAAGGGCGCGUAGGCGGCCCUCCUUGUCGCGUGUGAAAGCCCCGGGCUCAACCUGGGAACGGCGCGCGAGACGGGGGGGCUGGAGUUCGGGAGAGGAGCGUGGAAUUCCCAGUGUAGAGGUGAAAUUCGUAGAUAUUGGGAAGAACACCGGUGGCGAAGGCGGCGCUCUGGACCGAGACUGACGCUGAGGCGCGAAAGCGUGGGGAGCAAACAGG
rnacentral:rRNA from 1 species